UACGUAGGGGGCGAGCGUUGUCCGGAAUCAUUGGGCGUAAAGCGCGUGUAGGCGGUUCGGUAAGUCCGCUGUGAAAGUCGGGGGCUCAACCCUCGGAUGCCGGUGGAUACUGUCGAGCUUGAGUACGGAAGAGGCGAGUGGAAUUCCUGGUGUAGCGGUGAAAUGCGCAGAUAUCAGGAGGAACACCAAUAGCGAAGGCAGCUCGCUGGGACGUUACUGACACUGAGGCGCGAAAGCGUGGGGAGCGAACAGG
rnacentral:rRNA from 1 species